AACUAUAACAGUUCAGAGAUGAUUGACUGGUUACCUGUUUCUCUUUGUGGACGCAAAGCAAUGAGGAUGAGAGUGGAGAUGAAGUACGGACAGAUGACCACCAGGUGGCAGGCCAGCAUGAACAGCAGGUGAGAGGAUGAGGCAGGAGGUGAAGGAGAGGAGGGUGAGGAUGUGGUGGAAGGUCGAACUGCAGAGACAGUGAAGUCUAAUCAGGUCAAUAUUUACAUCACAUAUGAGAAAAACAUUUUGGUUGAUGUUAGCUUCAGAUGAGCUGAUUGGUUUUUUUUCCAAACCAGAACCAGAUUAAGGCUCAUCUGCUGUUCACACGUUAAAGGUUCCAGAAGGAGGGAAGCAUUUAAAGGGUUUUGGUGAGACGGUCAGAUGUUUGUUUGGCUCCUCGUUACUGAUGGAGAAAUCUCAAAGUUCCAUAAUGCUCAAUGUGUCAGAGAAGACUGGAUCUGGGAACAGCUUCACGGCCGAGCAGAACGUGUUCCGGGUACAGAAAACCAGACGAACGAUGUGAAGCUGAACUCUGUUCACAAGCCAGCAGCAGCGUUUCUAUCGCCAUCUGAUGGGAACAGAAAGUGCAGGAGGAUGUUCUGGAAGAGGGAUGUUGGUUUUCCUGCCAGUUUCCCAGAGUUUUUGUCAGGUUCUGGGCUUUUCUUUAAGAAAGGUCUCUCUCCCCUUCGGCUCCCCGUUGGGGAGKGGUCUGGAGUGGAGCUGCACGYCUGAAGCUUGUUGGAUCAUCAGUCAAGAGAGGAUUUAAGGAGCCAUCGGACCUCUCCUCUCUGCCGGAUGAUUAUCCCUCCACGGURGUCUCUAGCUCGUUAAAGCCUUCUACAGAAACGCCAGCAUUUUGUGAUUUUUCUCGAGUAAACCUCUGCCUGUUGUCAACCCUCCUCACUAGCCCUCUGUUCUCUCAUUUUUCAGGAUCUGGUCAGUUUCCAUCGGCGCCUCUGCCUGCAGCUCUCAGAGCCUCACCUGCCUGCCCGCUCCAGCCCRCUGCUCGUUGCCCCCUCCCCUAUCGGAAAGCCUUUCAAGAAGACGCGUGACUCGGACCUAGACCCACGGAUCACCUGCAGAACCUUUUGAUUGUUCUUUUCUAAUAAAAAUAGUAACUCGCCAGUAGUUUCCGGGUCUGAUUCUGCAUGUGGGUUAGAAGUCUACCUUCAAUCGUGACAGUUUUGUGUUCCCUGCAGCCAUGUUUGAUGCUCAGGGUUUAGUGGUGAACUGACACAUUUCAGGUCAAAGUUCAAGCUUAAGAGGACGUAUGAUCAUUUUAAAUGGAGACUCAGAAAAUGUCGCUGCAGAGGACGAGGAAAAUGGAGUACAGACAGUAAAUCUAUGAGGACGAUGUCUGUUUGCCUCCAGAGCUUCAUUCUGAAAUGACAACUUCAAGAUUCAAUCAGACAAAAGUUGGAUCUUCUGUGAAUGAAACCUGAAAAAG